GACGAACGCUGGCGGCGUGCCUAAUACAUGCAAGUCGAACGCUGAAGAGAGGGGGUUUCUCUUCCUGGAUGAGUUGGGGACGGGUGAGUAACUCCUAGGCAAAAUACCUUCUCGCGGGGGGUAAUAAUAGGGAAUGAUAUCUUAUAACCCAUAAUUAAGGGCCUUUCAUUUUAUUUACUUUAAAUGGGCUAUUUCUUCACUUAAAGAUGGACCUGCGUUGUAUUAGCUAGCAGGUGUGGUAACGGCACACCUAACCUAGGAUAUAUAACCGACCUGAGAGGGUGAUCGGCCACGCUGGGACUGGGACACGACCCGGACUCCUGCGAGAGGCAGCAGUAGGGAAUCUUCGGCAAUGGGAGCAACCCUGACCGAGCAACGCCGCGUGAGUGAAGAAGGUUUUCGGAUCGUAAAGCUCUGUUAUAAGUCAAGAACGAGUAUGAGAGUGGAAAGUUCACACUAUGACGGUAGCUUACCAGAAAGGGACGGCUAACUACGUG
rnacentral:rRNA from 1 species